rnacentral:lncRNA from 1 species
CCUGUCUCCACAAAGAGAGCAAGGGCCCAGGUGUGUCUGAAUAACAGCUGUGCUGGUGCCUACUGGAGGACAGAAACAUGGCAAAGAGUAAGGGGAAGUGAUGAUAUAGAAUGUGUAAGGUGGGAAUUCAGGAAACAAUGACAGCAAAAGUGAUUUGAGAAACAAAGCCAAAGGAAAAGCCUGAGUGUUCAGCAGCACGGGGGGCCCACUGCUUGGUCUACACCCAAAAGAAAGGGAAUCCCUGUUUGGAGGGAUGUCUGCACCCCGGGCUCAUGGCAGCACUGUUCACCACAGUCAAGGCGUGGAAGCAAUCUAAGUUCCAUCAACAGAUGAAUGGAUAAAGAAGAAUAUAUAAUACACAAUGGAGUACUCUUCAGCCAUAAAAGAAGAAAGACAUUCUGUCAUUUGUGACAAUCUGGAUCUCCCUAUGUUGCCCAUGCUGGGCUGGAACUCCUGGGCUCCAGUGAUCCUCCUGCCUCAGCCUCCUGAGUGCUGGGAUUAGAGGCUGAGCCACUGCACCCAGCUUAAAAGUGCCAUUCUUACUACAGCUGGAAGUGAACCACAGCAAAUCACCUUCAAAACAAAAGGACACCGAAGAUAAGUCAGUGCAUAAAAGAACCACAGGCUGAGCCAAGGUAAGAGGCCCUUUAGUGGAGGGCUGAGUAAUGGUGGCGACUUGGGCCUCUGCCCAUCAGUUAAGAGCAUGACUCCUGUGGCUCCUUCAAGCAAUCAGGAUGGUAAGAACCCACUGCAGAACUGUGGUUUGCUUUUACGGUUUUAAUUAAAUUAAAUUAACUAUAAUAACCAGGGCUUCUGUGUGUUUCACUUUCCAAAUCAAAACGGCCUAUUGUAGCUGUCGGGCACAGCGUUUCUGAGCUGAAAAUCUAAGUUGCGUGUGUUGGUGCUUUUUUUUUCUUCCUUUACUAGAAGUGCAGGCUGAUCUUUUGAGAGCUGAAUUACAGUAAUAGGAAUGGAAAUGAGUUACUGAUGGCAGCUCUGAAUCCCUAAUACUGUCACUUCUUCCCAUCUGUGCGCCCGAGGCAUUGGCCAUCAUUCUGGGUAAAAUGCAGGGCUAGAGCUCCAGCUAGGAGUCAGGAGACUUGAGCUUGAA